rnacentral:rRNA from 1 species
UACGAAGGGGGCUAGCGUUGUUCGGAAUCACUGGGCGUAAAGGGCGCGUAGGCGGCUGUUCAAGUCGGGGGUGAAAUCCCGUGGCUCAACCACGGAAUGGCCUUCGAUACUGGACGGCUCGAGACCGGAAGAGGUGAGUGGAACUGCGAGUGUAGAGGUGAAAUUCGUAGAUAUUCGCAAGAACACCAGUGGCGAAGGCGGCUCACUGGUCCGGUUCUGACGCUGAGGCGCGAAAGCGUGGGAGCAAACAGG